rnacentral:rRNA from 1 species
GCUCAGAGUGAACGCUGGCGGUAGGCCUAACACAUGCAAGUCGAACGGCAGCACAGUAAGAGCUUGCUCUUAUGGGUGGCGAGUGGCGGACGGGUGAGGAAUACAUCGGAAUCUACCUUUUCGUGGGGGAUAACGUAGGGAAACUUACGCUAAUACCGCAUACGACCUUCGGGUGAAAGCAGGGGACCUUCGGGCCUUGCGCGGAUAGAUGAGCCGAUGUCGGAUUAGCUAGUUGGCGGGGUAAAGGCCCACCAAGGCGACGAUCCGUAGCUGGUCUGAGAGGAUGAUCAGCCACACUGGAACUGAGACACGGUCCAGACUCCUACGGGAGGCAGCAGUGGGGAAUAUUGGACAAUGGGCGCAAGCCUGAUCCAGCCAUACCGCGUGGGUGAAGAAGGCCUUCGGGUUGUAAAGCCCUUUUGUUGGGAAAGAAAAGCAGUCGGCUAAUACCCGGUUGUUCUGACGGUACCCAAAGAAUAAGCACCGGCUAACUUCGUGCC